CAAUAGCGUAUAUUAAAGUUGUUGCAGUUAAAAAGCUCGUAGUUGGAUUUCUGGUGAGAUGGAUUCUGUCUAGGUCGAAAGAUCUUGUUCAUGGUUCGUUUUGCCCUUCUUGUCAGGAACCCGCUGAGAUUCGCGUCUUGUCGGUGGAAUGGCAUCGUUUACUGUGAAAAAAUUAGAGUGUUCAAAGCAGGCAUCGCCGUUGAAUACAUUAGCAUGGAAUAAUAAGAUAAGACUUUGGUGGUCUAUUUUGUUGGUUUGCACGCCAAAGUAAUGAUUAAUAGGGAUAGUUGGGGGUAUUCGUAUUCUAUUGCUAGAGGUGAAAUUCUUAAAUUUAUGGAAGACGAACUACUGCGAAAGCAUUUACCAAGGAUGUUUUCAUUAA
rnacentral:rRNA from 1 species